rnacentral:rRNA from 1 species
UUGAUCCUGGCUCAGGAUGAACGCUAGCGGCAGGCUUAACACAUGCAAGUCGAGGGGUAUUGGUUUUCGGACCAAGAGACCGGCGCACGGGUGCGUAACGCGUAUGCAAUCUACCUUUCACAGAGGGAUAGCCCAGAGAAAUUUGGAUUAAUACCUCAUAGCAUAGCAGCGUCGCAUGACGCUACUAUUAAAGUCACAACGGUGAAAGAUGAGCAUGCGUCCCAUUAGCUAGUUGGUAAGGUAACGGCUUACCAAGGCUACGAUGGGUAGGGGUCCUGAGAGGGAGAUCCCCCACACUGGUACUGAGACACGGACCAGACUCCUACGGGAGGCAGCAGUGAGGAAUAUUGGACAAUGGGCGCAAGCCUGAUCCAGCCAUGCCGCGUGCAGGAUGACGGUCCUAUGGAUUGUAAACUGCUUUUGUACAGGAAGAAACAGUUCUACGUGUAGAACCUUGACGGUACUGUAAGAAUAAGGAUC